rnacentral:rRNA from 1 species
ACGGCUCAGUAACACGUGGAUAACCUGCCCUUGGGUCCGGCAUAACCCCGGGAAACUGGGGAUAAUUCCGGAUAACGCACAUAUGCUGGAAUGCUUUAUGCGUAAAAUGGAUUCGUCUGCCCAAGGAUGGGUCUGCGGCCUAUCAGGUAGUAGUGGGUGUAAUGUACCUACUAGCCGACGACGGGUACGGGUUGUGAGAGCAAGAGCCCGGAGAUGGAUUCUGAGACAUGAAUCCAGGCCCUACGGGGCGCAGCAGGCGCGAAAACUUUACAAUGCGGGAAACCGUGAUAAGGGGACACCGAGUGCCAGCAUCAUAUGCUGGCUGUCCAGGUGUGUAAAAUACACCUGUUAGCAAGGGCCGGGCAAGACCGGUGCCAGCCGCCGCGGUAACACCGGCGGCCCGAGUGGUGAUCGUGAUUAUUGGGUCUAAAGGGUCCGUAGCCGGUUUGGUCAGUCCUCCGGGAAAUCUGACGGCUUAACCGUUAGGCUUUCGGGGGAUACUGCCAGGCUUGGAACCGGGAGAGGUAAGAGGUACUACAGGGGUAGGAGUGAAAUCUUGUAAUCCCUGUGGGACCACCUGUGGCGAAAGGCGUCUUACCAGAACGGUUCGACGGUGAGGGACGAAAGCUGGGGGCACGAACCGGAUUAGAUACCCGGGUAGUCCCAGCCGUAAACGAUGCUCGCUAGGUGUCAGGCAUGGCGCGACCGUGUCUGGUGCCGCAGGAAGCCGUGAAGCGAGCCACCUGGGAAGUACGGCCGCAAGGCUGAAACUUAAAGGGAAUGGCGGGGGAGCAC